GCCAAGGUCCCACAGGAAGCAGGUGCAGAAAAUGUAUUGAGUUCGGGUCUUUCUGCCGCUGGAAUCUGUGUUCUCAACCUCCAGGGCAUUCUGCUGGGUGAGAACGACUGCAGGACAAAAAUGAGCUCCUCUUGCUGCGCGUUUCAGCCCGGGAGAGGUCUUCCCCGAGAAACCGCCGGCAGCCCAUCCCUGCAGCUGGCUCCGCUCUUCCAAAGGCUGGUCCCAUCCUGGCCAGGCCAGCCCACUGCCCAGUUGGUGAGGGAUGGUUUAUCAGCACCAUGACUCAGCCCUUCCCAACAUGCCCAGGUCAGUGCUGGGACGGUCCUUACAGGAAUGAAUGAGAGCACUGCGCUGGCAAUUUCGGCAUUUGCAGAUUACAUACGAGGAGACCCAGAACCAGAGAGUGAACCAAAUUACCAAUGCUUCAUGCUGAGUGAGGGAGCUUGAACCCAGAUCUGCUCAACUAUAAACUUCAUUCCUCUGUCCUCAUUAUCUUGCAUUUACUCCCAUCCCACCAGUCUUGAAAGAGUCAACAAAGUCAACACAGUGUCAUGAAUAUGCAAUGAAAUCCUUUUCGUGUGGAUGUGCUCACUACUGUCCACUGACACAUCAUGGAGAUUGAACUUUGUACAGCAUCAGGUCCUAAAGUCAGGUCC